UAAGUUGAAGCUGAAUAUUCUAGCAUUUGGCCGUUAACCAAAAGGAUAAAGAGAUACUCUUUGAACUUAA
rnacentral:tRNA from 1 species